AAAGAACUCAGUGCUGCAGCAUUCAACAUUGACCAAAGGCUCCUUCCUGGGACUGGAUCUUGCCAGAGCCAUGUUACUCUGUAGCGUUAGAAUUGGCUCCUGCAAUGAAUAUUCCAGGCUGAAUAGUUCUCAGAGGACAGCUGGAUGCUGUAGUUCCAAAGCUGUUCCUGAUGACCUGCUGGAAGGCAAAGUUUCCAAACACCAACUGGCCAGCGCUAAAGACUGCUCUUACUUCAGAUCCCAGAGCAGGGUGUCUGACUGCACCUUUCUCCUAGUGAAAACCAGGAUGCUCUUUCCCUCAAGGCAGGGAGACCCCAAAUCCUCAUUAAAUGCAGAAAACAGAGAGUUAAAGACAGCAGGCUUCUUCAAAGGAAAUGUACCAGGGCUAGUCAGUGCAGUUGCAUGAUUAGGUGAGAUUUUAUUUAUCAAUAACCAUUGAAGUGUGGUGAUAUUAACAGCUGCACUUUCUUUCUGCUUCUGUUCCCUCUAGUGCAGAGCCAGGAGUUGUCAUCAGCUGUCCAAUUUGCAUGGACUUUUACUCAGAGAUUAUGCAAAGUGGACGACAGCUUGUCACAACCGUGUGUGGACACGUGUUCUGCAGCGCAUGCCUCCCUGUUGCCCUGGAGACCACCGGCAUGUGCCCAACCUGCAGGGCAGAACUCGAUCCAGGACUUUAUUUUCCAAUUUAUUUAUGAGUGCUUUUGCUUCUCAGGGCAGACUUAGGUAGACCCUGGAGAACAGGCAAUGUACAGGCUUGUUUCUUUAGGCAUAUAGUUCUUUCUGUACAUAGUUUCAUUUUUGCUUAGUUCAGUUAUAAAUAAAGUUUUGAUUGUUUUAAAUAUA